rnacentral:rRNA from 1 species
GACGAACGCUGGCGGUGUGCCUAAUACAUGCAAGUCGAGCGGACAGAAGGGAGCUUGCUCCCGGAUGUUAGCGGCGGACGGGUGAGUAACACGUGGGUAACCUGCCUGUAAGACUGGGAUAACCCCGGGAAACCGGAGCUAAUACCGGAUAGUUCCUUGAACCGCAUGGUUCAAGGAUGAAAGACGGUUUCGGCUGUCACUUACAGAUGGACCCGCGGCGCAUUAGCUAGUUGGUGAGGUAACGGCUCACCAAGGCGACGAUGCGUAGCCGACCUGGGAGGGUGAGCGGCCACACUGGGACUGAGACACGGCCCAGACUCCUACGGGAGGCAGCAGUAGGGAGUCUUCCGCAAUGGACGAAAGUCUGACGGAGCAUCGCCGCGUGAGUGAUGAAGGUUUUCGGAUCGUAAAGCUCUGUUGUUAGGGAAGAACAAGUGCAAGAGUAACUGCUUGCACCUUGACGGUACCUAACCAGAAAGCCACGGCUAACUACGUGCCAGCCGCCGCGGUAAAAC